GAUGAACGCUGGCGGCGUGCUUAACACAUGCAAGUCGAACGAAGCACUUUAUUUGAUUUCCUUCGGGACUGAUUAUUUUGUGACUGAGUGGCGGACGGGUGAGUAAAGCGUGGGUAACCUGCCUUGUACAGGGGGAUAACAGUUGGAAACGGCUGCUAAUACCGCAUAAGCGCACAGCAUCGCAUGAUGCAGUGUGAAAAACUCCGGUGGUAUAAGAUGGACCCGCGUUGGAUUAGCUAGUUGGUGAGGUAACGGCCCACCAAGGCGACGAUCCAUAGCCGACCUGGGAGGGUGACCGGCCACAUGGGGACUGAGACACGGCCCAAACUCCUACGGGAGGCAGCAGUUGGGAAUAUUGCACAAUGGGCGAAAGCCUGAUGCAGCGACGCCGCGUGAGCGAAGAAGUAUUUCGGUAUGUAAAGCUCUAUCAGCAGGGAAGAUAAUGACGGUACCUGACUAAGAAGCACCGGCUAAAUACGUG
rnacentral:rRNA from 1 species